rnacentral:rRNA from 1 species
UACGUAGGGUGCGAGCGUUGUCCGGAAUUAUUGGGCGUAAAGAGCUUGUAGGCGGUUUGUCGCGUCUGCUGUGAAAAUCCGGGGCUCAACCCCGGACUUGCAGUGGGUACGGGCAGACUAGAGUGUGGUAGGGGAGACUGGAAUUCCUGGUGUAGCGGUGAAAUGCGCAGAUAUCAGGAGGAACACCGGUGGCGAAGGCGGGUCUCUGGGCCGAAACUGACGCUGAGGAGCGAAAGCGUGGGGAGCGAACAGG